GGUCCCAUAGCUCAGUUGGUUAGAGCGUCGUACUAAUAAUUCUCUUCCUUCAAAGAGUAUCAUUGGUCCAUGCGAAGGCCGGGAGUUCGAGCCUCCCUGGGACCA